rnacentral:misc_RNA from 1 species
UUCUUUCUCCUACAAUAUGUAACAAUCUCAUUUUCCCCCACUUUACUAGGUUCACACAAGCCUUGAUUGACCAUUGGAUGAAUUUACUUUGGAUAUGCCUUUCUUAAGAACUGGCAAAAAUUUUUUACCCCUACUACGGCACUCUGGACAACAUAUGUGGGCGAUAAUAACAAGAAUCCCAUUCUAUCAUGAUAGCAGAAGCCGCUAUGAGAAUGCAACUGCAAGCACUGGUUUAGCCAUUAAUCCAGCACCAAUGGAUUCAAGAUAACAACUAAAUGCUACUGUUAUCUAACAGAUAAGCCUCAUAAGGAUCCCUGAAAACAAGAUAUGAAGAAAGGAAGAAGAUAGUGAAACAAAAUAACAAAAAUAUCCUUCAACACAUCUUAGAAUUUCCAAGCUAACACUGACUUGGAUUAGUGUAAAACUGCAAGUAAUCUAGAAGUUGCACAUUACCAUCAGGAUGUGGUUCAGUCA